rnacentral:tRNA from 1 species
CGUCAGGUAGCUUAGUGGUUUAGAGCAGUCGCCCGGCAAGCGAAAAACCAGGGUUCGAUUCCCGGUCUAGCGA